GACGAACGCUGGCGGCGUGCUUAACACAUGCAAGUCGAACGGAAAGGCCCUGCUUUUGUGGGGUGCUCGAGUGGCGAACGGGUGAGUAACACGUGAGUAACCUGCCCUUGACUUUGGGAUAACUUCAGGAAACUGGGGCUAAUACCGGAUAGGAGCUCCUGCUGCAUGGGGGGGGUUGGAAAGUUUCGGCUGUUGGGGAUGGACUCGCGGCUUAUCAGCUUGUUGGUGGGGUAGUGGCUUACCAAGGCUUUGACGGGUAGCCGGCCUGAGAGGGUGACCGGCCACAUUGGGACUGAGAUACGGCCCAGACUCCUACGGGAGGCAGCAGUGGGGAAUAUUGCACAAUGGGCGGAAGCCUGAUGCAGCAACGCCGCGUGCGGGAUGACGGCCUUCGGGUUGUAAACCGCUUUCGCCUGUGACGAAGCGUGAGUGACGGUAAUGGGUAAAGAAGCACCGGCUAACUACGUG
rnacentral:rRNA from 1 species